AAAACCCGGAUAAUAAAGAAUUUGCUGAGAAGAAAUUUAAGGAGGUGGCCGAGGCAUAUGAAGUGCUGUCUGACAAGCACAAGCGGGAGAUUUAUGACCGCUAUGGCCGGGAAGGGCUGACAGGGACAGGAACUGGCCCAUCUCGGGCAGAAGCUGGCAGUGGUGGGCCUGGCUUCACCUUCACCUUCCGCAGCCCCGAGGAGGUCUUCCGGGAAUUCUUCGGGAGUGGAGACCCUUUUGCAGAGCUCUUUGAUGAGAAAACUGAGGCACAGUUAAUAGCCCAGAGUCACAUAACACAUGGCAGAGCUGGACUCCUAGCUGUGUCUGCCUGUCAUCGCGUCAUGAUGAUUUGCCUGUACUGAAAGAGCCAUCUGUCCUCCAUCCCUCUUCCCCCUCCUUCCUUCCUUUAUUCUUUAUUGUGGACAGAAUUAACCAGUGA
rnacentral:sRNA from 1 species